rnacentral:tRNA from 1 species
AUAAUUUUAGUUUAAUAUAAAAUAUUUUUAUUACAAAAAAAAGUUAAUUAAUAAUUAAAUUUUA